CUCAAUGGUCACACACUGGCCUCUUCCUGUGCUGGAGCCACACUCGUCUCCUGCCACCCCUGUAGGGGAUGGACAGCACUGGCCGCUCUGCAGCCCCUCAGGAGUGACACAUUCCCUCGGGAACUGGGCCAAGCUAUGAGUUCAGCUAAGCACCCUCUGAAUUGUGCAUCAAAGACAGAUGCCGUCCUUCCAAGUGAAACCUCAUGGACGCCAAGUUCAGUGCAAUACCAAAGAGUUUGUAAAUCCCGGCAUCUUUUGUUCAGGAAUUUCGGUUCUUCUGAUGACGACUGGAUUGUCACUGCUGCUGCAAAGACUCUUAACAAGGACACAUUUCAAAAUUACUGUGUCGACUGUUUAAUAAUUCAGUGUUGCUUUGUUAUUGUCUGUGCAAGGCAGGCAUCACAUUUCUACUUGUGUCUUAUAGACAUUCACUCGCUGAAGCAGCACACAAACCGUCAUCUGUGAUGUUAUACACAGACUCUCAAUCUCUAAAUCUCUGAUUUUUUAGUAUUUUUUGUUUACAGUUGAUUUUCACCACAUGCAUAUUUUUCACAUGGUCUCUCACUGCAAGCACACAACUGUAGCUUAAUUACUGAUCCCAGCCCGCCAGUCUGAUUAGCAAAAGCAGUGGUAUUAGCCAGUAAUGCUCUUGGUUCACGGGACUCACAUUCUCAUGUGACAUUUUGAGCAGAAUCCCGGGGCUAUUACACUAUAAAAGCGCCAAGAGGGAAUCAGCUGAGAAGCACACAACUGGUGGCUCCUAUGAGCCACAAGUUUGCAGGUCAGUACAUGAUAUUUAGUCAGGUCACAAUGGAAAAGUCUGACUACUAGUGUAAGUGGCAAAGAGACUGAAAAACUGUCAGAGUAAGUGUAGCCGAGGAAAGAAAGACAAAAGAAAGAGAAAGAACUCUCAUACGAUAUAGGUUAAUCUGUGAUGAAGCCCAGCGAAGGCUGCCAAUAAAAUUUAAGCUUUGUUGCGUUCGAUUAUUUUUAAAGUUUAAAGUUAAGAUUCCAUUUUAAUUCAACAUCUGUGAAGGUUGUUUGCGCUUUCUGCUUGCUUGUCGGUCCUAAAAUAGUUUAAGAGAUGUCACUUUGUAUAAAUGCACUGCUCAAAAAAGUUAAGGGAUCACUUAAUGCAUGCCAUGCCCAUGGAGUCUGGUCAGUAGCCCACUGGAGAUCAUUUUGUAGGGUGCUCCUAUCAUGCAAAAGAGCAGAUAUCAGUCAUGCUACUGGGUCGAAGCCCUGCAAAGCUGUUCUCGUGUAAUGGUCAGUAUCUCUUCCUCAGUUCUGAGACUGUACAGGGAGACACAGUAAACCUUCUUAUGGCGGCAAGCAUGGAUGUGUCCUGAAUUGACUGCUGGUACUGUCUCAUAGUAGCAGUAACAAGGACACUAACAAAAAGCAAAACUAGGAAAAAGGGAGGAAGGAGGGAUAAGAAGAGAGCAAAUCUUAGAAAGCCAUUCUGUUUUUAGGGAGUCUUGUUAUUGCCUCUGCAGCACGCCUGUUGUCAUUUUCAUUUGCACCAAAGCGGGUGAAUUGGAUUCACAAUGGUUUAUGACUUCUAACAAGACAGAUUGAUGUCCCUGAAGUUUAACUGGCUCUGUGUUAUACUGUGAAAAU